GUCUGCUCAGCUCCCUCGUGCGCCGCACAGUGAGGUUGGGAGCCGGAAUAUGAUGUCAUAUUCCGGCUCCCGGCAUCACUCUGCGGGCGGCGCGCGAAGGAGCUGAGCAGAC